rnacentral:rRNA from 1 species
ACAAAUCAUNAAUAGCAAACUUCCANUUAGNGAUGAUACUAUUUCUAUAAAAACAAGUACUAUUUGUAAUUUAAAUUACAUAAAUAAAUUCUAAAUUUAUUGCACUAUUCUGCCAAAAUAGCAAUUAUUAAUAAUAUUCUUUUUUAAAAAUAUAAUUAUUUUAAUAUUUAAUCCUUUCGUACUAAAAUAUUAUAAUUUAUUAAAGAUAGAAACCAACCUGGCUUACACCGGUUUGAACUCAGAUCAUGUAAGAAUUUAAAAGUCGAACAGACUUAAAAUUUGAACGGCUACACCCAAAAUUAUAUCUUAAUCCAACAUCGAGGUCGCAAUCUUUUUUAUCGAUAUGAACUCUCCAAAAAAAUUACGCUGUUAUCCCUAAAGUAACUUAAUUUUUUAAUCAAUAAUAAAGGAUCAAUUAUUCAUAAAUUAAUGUUAUUUAAAAAUUAAAAGUUUUUUAAAUUUUAAUAUCACCCCAAUAAAAUAUUUUAAAUUAUAAUAAUAAAAAUAAUCUUAUUAAUUAAAAUAAAUAAAAUAUAAAGAUUUAUAGGGUCUUCUCGUCUUUUAAAAAAAUUUUAGCUUUUUGACUAAAAAAUAAAAUUCUAUUAUAAAUUUAAAUGAAACAGUUAAUAUUUCGUCCAACCAUUCAUACCAGCCUUCAAUUAAAAGACUAAUGAUUAUGCUACCUUUGCACAG